rnacentral:rRNA from 1 species
UAAUACGAAGGGGGCUAGCGUUGCUCGGAAUUACUGGGCGUAAAGGGCGCGUAGGCGGCCCGCUUAGUCAGGCGUGAAAUUCCUGGGCUCAACCUGGGGACUGCGCUUGAUACGGGUGGGCUUGAGGGCAGGAGAGGCUCGCGGAAUUCCCAGUGUAGAGGUGAAAUUCGUAGAUAUUGGGAAGAACACCGGUGGCGAAGGCGGCGAGCUGGCCUGUUACUGACGCUGAGGCGCGACAGCGUGGGGAGCAAACAGGAUUAGAUACCCUGGUAGUCCACGCCGUAAACGAUGUGCGCUGGAUGUUGGGGCCCCUAGGGCUUCAGUGUCGUAGCCAACGCGGUAAGCGCACCGCCUGGGGAGUACGGCCGCAAGGUUG